AAAUUUUUCACAUUUCUAACCGCGUACUCCUCCAAGAACAUUCCUCCCUCACAAUCACCUAACCACAUCUCGCGUUCGCUCUUCACCGAAACUACAUCUUCUUCGAUGCCUAGAGCGUCGUCUCAAACGCCAAUCCUCAUCUUCCUCUAGUUUCCUUAUUUCUUACCUUUUGACCGAUUCCUUUUUCUUCAUUUUUCACCGAGAUUAGUUUCUAUCUAUUUACACCGAUUAAAUCUUCAUUCCAACCUUUUUCACCGAUUAAAUCCCUUCCUACCUCGAACCUAGAAUAUGCUCCGAACAAACCUUCAAACCUUUUGAUUUCACCGUCUUUCGCUGUGUCCUUGUUCGCCGACUCGAUUUUACACCGGAAUCAUGGAUUCACGCCGAUCCGCCUCGACUAGGAGUCAUCACUCGUUCAUCAUUCUUUGGUGUGGUAUUCUGUGUAGUCUCAUUCAUCAUUCUCUGGUGUGGUGUGGUGAGAGAGAGUCUAUGUGUUGGUGUGCUGGUAAUAAUGGCUGAAGAGGAGCUUGUGAUGGGAAGCUUGAGGUCGUGAUUCCCUCUUUUGUUCACUACCUCGUGGUUCUAGAAGGUGCUGAUGGGGACAAAAUGCCAGGCUAAGUUGUCUGCUGGUGGGGAUGAUGCUUGGAAAGAACGGGAAGAUGUUGUCCUGGCCCUUGGUGCCAUAGGUGAAGGUUGCAUCAAUGGUCUUUAUCCUCAUCUGUUGGAGAGAAGAAAGCUGCAAGCCAAGCAACACAGAACAAAUGCAUGUGUAUUAUCUUAUAGCAUCCAGAUUGAAUAGCAGAUGUCAUUUAUCUUAGAAGGUUAGGGAGGGACACUUCAUUUUUACGUAACCUGCGGCGUUGAAGAUUUCAACAUACACACAUUAUUUGGUUGCAUGUCUCAUUCAUACUAUAGGCAAAGAGUACUGGACUGUUUACCUAAAAAAAUCACUUUACUUGGUGAAGAUUGUGAAACUAGUAGUUCCCUGAUUCCUGUGAAGAAAAGGGGGUUCAUCAUCACCCGUCAGUGGAUCAGGUGCUGCAAAUUGGUUUGCUGCCUCCCCCACCAUUGGAUCAAAGAUAUAUAAAGCCAAUAGAGCAAGUUUAGCAACAGUUUGUUUAGAUGAAAAUGAUGUGAAAUGAUGUGAAAGAACUGGAAAUGUUACUAGAGGUUAUGUUACUUGCUUCAGUUUCAGUUUGGUGGAAAUAUAUCUGCAAGUCAAAAAGAUGUCAUGUUGGAAAUGCAUAUGCAGUUUAAAUUGUAAACUAAGAUUCUCAGAUAAGAAGGUUGAAGACUUGGAAUAAGACCCAUUAGUCUGCAGUUUUUAUAUCUGGGGAAUUUAGAGAGGAGGGGAGAUGAUUUGUAGUGAACAUUAUUUUUUAAUCUAUAGGGCCCACUUGAUUUGUUUGAAGAGGUUUGCUUAUAUUUAUGUACAAAUAAUAUAUUAAAUAUUGUUAGACAUUUUAAUGUAUGAAAUGAAUUCUAUUUUGUUUAUU